UCCCGUCGCCUUCGGAAAGCAGCCGCGGGUGGGAGCGGGCGGUGGGCGCGGGUGGGAGGGAGCGGCCGCCACCCUCGCCGCCCCUCUGCCCGCGGGCUGGGGGCGAUAGCGCCGUGCCCAGCCCGCCCCUCUGCCCGCGAUGCGCCGCGGGCGAGCCCGGCUGCCCCGGGGGAAGUCGAAGGCCGGGCCCCCACGGGCCGCUCGGCCGGCUGCGAGGGGGCGGGCGGCGCCGGGCGCCCGAGGAGGAGCCCGAGCAUCCCGGCGCCGGGGACAGCCGGAGAGCGGGCGGCGAGGCUUCAUGGGCUGCUCACGCCAGCAUGGUGCUCGCCCUCAACGGCAGCCACCUCUACGGUAACCUGCGGCCCCUGGUCCUGGAGGAGCCGCGGGCGCUGGGCGGCGGCAGGAUGAUCGCCGGCUCCUGGCCCCCGCGCAGCCUGGCGAAGCUCGGCCCGUCGCCCCCCCCGUCGGCGCUGCCCACGGCGAGCCCCCUCCCCGCCAACGACUCCCAGUGCGGGGAGCAGAUCCUCAGCUACGGCAGCGCGGAGAAAGUUCUCAUCGGGGCCGUGCUCUGCCUCAUCACCCUGCUGACCAUCGCCGGCAACUGCCUGGUGGUCAUCUCCGUCUGCUUCGUGAAGAAGCUGCGGCAGCCCUCCAACUAUCUCAUCGUCUCGCUGGCCCUGGCCGAUCUCUCGGUGGCCCUGGCCGUCAUGCCCUUCGUCAGCGUCACCGACCUUAUCGGCGGCGAGUGGAUCUUCGGGCGCCUCUUCUGCAACGUCUUCAUCGCCAUGGAUGUCAUGUGCUGCACGGCCUCCAUCAUGACCCUCUGUGUGAUAAGUAUCGACAGGUACCUGGGAAUUACAAGACCCCUCACAUACCCUGUGAGGCAGAAUGGGAAGUGUAUGGCCAAAAUGAUCCUGUGUGUCUGGCUUUUAUCUGCCUCUAUCACCAUACCCCCGCUCUUCGGCUGGGCCCAGAACGUGAAUGAUGAAAAGGUUUGUCUCAUCAGUCAAGACUUUGGCUACACCAUUUACUCCACAGCAGUUGCAUUUUAUAUUCCAAUGUCAGUGAUGCUUUUCAUGUACUAUCAGAUUUAUAAAGCUGCCAGGAGGAGUGCUGCUAAACACAAGUUUUCUGGUUUUCCCCGUCUGGAAGAAAUGGAAGGGAUUUCUGUGAAUGGACUUGUAAAACUGCACAAGGAAUCUGAAGAAUGUACUAAUUUUUCACGACUCCUAAAGCAUGACAAGAAAAACAUUUCCAUCUUUAAAAGAGAGCAGAAAGCUGCCACCACCCUUGGGAUUAUUGUUGGGGCUUUCACAGUCUGCUGGCUGCCCUUUUUCCUCCUCUCAACUGCAAGGCCCUUCAUCUGUGGUACAGAGUGCAGCUGCAUCCCACUCUGGGUGGAGAGAACAUUUCUGUGGCUGGGCUAUGCAAACUCUCUCAUUAACCCUUUUAUCUAUGCCUUCUUCAACCGGGACCUGAGGACAACCUAUCGCAACCUGCUGCAGUGCAGAUACAGGAAUAUCAACCGCAAACUCUCGGCCGCAGGGAUGCACGAGGCUCUGAAGCUGGCAGAAAAGCCAGAGUUCGUUCUGUAAGGUCACUCAUCCUCUACUGUGAUCAUUUGUUGCUUUAUCACAUUGGCUUUUCCCCCACAGGUUCGAAAGAAGUGUUGUAGGAAGAACCAGAUGAGCACUGUUAAUGCAGUCAUCAGGAAACAAGGUAGAGCCCACCAGCCCUAAUCAGCCUGGAAAAGCAAGACCACCAUCUAAAGCAUUUGGGUGUAAGAGGAAUAAAAAAAAGGAUGGAAGUGAAAUGUAGCACAGGAUGUUUGAGCUGUUAGUGAGGGAAAAGCAAAGUUGGCCUAACGCCUUUGUUUGGCCCAAAAAAUGUUUAGUAGGUCUGAAUGUUGGGUGCACCUUGUGUCCCAGAGAUUCUUUGCUGUAAUAAAGACUUGAGAAUGGUGAAAAGUUAAUUUCCUUCCACUUCAGUAUUACAAAAAUAAAACAUUAAAGAAGAAGCUGAAUCAAGGAACUUUUAUUCCUUAGAAAUAUUCUUUAUUAUAAAACCCCAUAUGUUCAUUAAACAUUAAUUUACUGGAUUGCCUGGAAAAGAACUAUGUUGUGAAAUUCAAUAUUGCCUUUGCACAGCAACUCUGGCACUGAAAGAAUAUGUUGCACUUCCAAUGUGAUUAAAAGAGUUGGAGUAAAGUCACAUGGACCAGCAUCUACUGCUGCAUAGAGCCCUGCAGCGCAGUCAGCCGCAGUGCUGCCGUGCAAAUCACACCAGGAGAAGUUCUGAUUUCUCCAGGGAAAAAGAAUCAUGACCAAAUGUGCUUCAAAGCAGCCAGAAAAAGUUGAGCCAGACCAGGAAGAGGGAAAAUGAAGAGUUGGCUCCCGAAGAACUGGAUAGAUUUAUAAAAUGUACUUCAUCUUCCUUUGAUGGGAGUGUGCUAAAAAUAUUCCAUGAGCUCAAUACAUUACAUUAGAUGUAUUUCUAUUGGAAGUACCCACAUCUUGUUUGUUAUGGAGGAAAAUGCUGUAACAUACAAAUAAAAAUAGUUUUCUGCCUGAGAAAGACAAAUAAUUUCAGCAAUAAGUUUGACACGGGGUGGGGGGAAUGCCACUAAAACUCAAAGAUAAAGCCUUGUACAGAUUUCCACCACAUUUAACUAUGUAGAAAAACAUUUGUAUGUUUACCAUGCUUGUGGAUUCCAGCAUUGGAUUCAUAUUCAGGGACUGUCAGUGAUACUGAAUGUAUUUUGCUGUACUAAAAAAGAAGAGGUUUUCAGGCAAAUGCUGUCUCUGUGGAUGCUUUCAGAGCUUGUGUUAAAGAGAUGCUGUACACCUGCAACAGGAUUGAGAAUGACAACAAUAAAAGACCAAUUUUUGUUAAAGAUUUCUGUUGUAUUAAGUAAAUGUCUGUUACUUGUUGCAUACAUGUGGUUGGCUCUCCCAAACUUUUGUAGAAAGCUGCUUUCAGUUACACAGUGACGAAAGUUAAGGGACAAAAUUAGAAUGCACACGUAUUACACCACAGCUAAUUUCCAAAUAUGAUUGCUUUAAUGUAAUUUUCAUGACCUGCCAAUUUAUAAAUUUCUGUCAUUUCAAUUCAAAUAUAUAUAAAAGGCUGGAGAAUUUCCACAGCACUUGGCUUUUUGUCUUACUGGCUAGCUGGAGAGAGAAUUAAUUUUUUUCUUAAAUGUGUCUAAGAAGUGUUAUUUCUGCCAAUGGUUUGUUAUAAUUAAAAUUCUCUUUGGCUUGACAAAAACUGAAUAGGUGAGUAUAAAUGAUCAUUUUUCCCAGGGAAAAUUGA